rnacentral:rRNA from 1 species
UACGGGGGGGGCAAGCGUUGUUCGGAAUUACUGGGCGUAAAGGGCUCGUAGGCGGCCAACUAGGUCAGACGUGAAAUCCCUCGGCUUAACCGGGGAACUGCAUCUGAUACUGGAUGGCUUGAGUUCGGGAGAGGGAUGCGGAAUUCCAGGUGUAGCGGUGAAAUGCGUAGAUAUCUGGAGGAACACCGGUGGCGAAGGCGGCAUCCUGGACCGGCACUGACGCUGAGGAGCGAAAGCCAGGGGAGCAAACGGG